GACGAACGCUGGCGGCGUGCCUAAUACAUGCAAGUUGAGCGAUGAAGAUUGGUGCUUGCACCAAUUUGAAGAGCAGCGAACGGGUGAGUAACGCGUGGGGAAUCUGCCUUUGAGCGGGGGACAACAUUUGGAAACGAAUGCUAAUACCGCAUAACAACUUUAAACAUAAGUUUUAAGUUUGAAAGAUGCAAUUGCAUCACUCAAAGAUGAUCCCGCGUUGUAUUAGCUAGUUGGUGAGGUAAAGGCUCACCAAGGCGAUGAUACAUAGCCGACCUGAGAGGGUGAUCGGCCACAUUGGGACUGAGACACGGCCCAAACUCCUACGGGAGGCAGCAGUAGGGAAUCUUCGGCAAUGGACGAAAGUCUGACCGAGCAACGCCGCGUGAGUGAAGAAGGGUUUCGGAUCGUAAAACUCGGUUGGUAGAGAAGAACGUUGGUGAGAGUGGAAAGCUCAUCAAGUGACGGUAACUACACAGAAAGGGACGGCUAACUACGUG
rnacentral:rRNA from 1 species